AAAAGAUGGCAGGUCAAUCAAAAAAUGAAACGCACUAGGGAUCGUGAGACCCUACAAAAUCUACUAGGAACGCAAAAUAAAAAUACAUUUAUUUUAGCUUCUGAUGAUAUUCCCACUAUUUCUAGGGAGUUGAACCUUAUAUUGACUCCUCUUCAGAUAAUAAACCCUGUCUUAACCUCAUUUACUAAUUGUACAGAUGGUGAUUUAUCCGUCAUUAAUGAAAGAAAAAGAUGGCAGGUCAAUCAACAAAUGAAUAGCUAUAGGGAUUGUGAAUCCCAGCAAAAUAUACUAACAACAUAAAAUAAAAAUUCAAUUUUAGCUUCUGAUGAUAUUCCCACUAUUUCUAGGGGGUUGAUCCUAAUCUUGACUCCUCUGCAAAUAACAAACCCUGCUUUAUUUCCUCCUUAUAAUUGUUUAAAUAUUGAUAUAUCUACCAUUAAUUAUCAAAAAAUACAAAAUAAAUGUUCAGAAAAACAUAAUAGUCUUGAUAAGUCCCCAAAUAGACAAAUUUUAUUUUUUGAUGAUAGCCUCCCAACUACUAGAGAUAUGCAUAUAUUGACCCCUUUACAGGUUAACCCAAACUUGAUCCCUCACAUAGCUACAAAACAUGAUAUUUCUAUUAAAG